rnacentral:rRNA from 1 species
CCUACGGGAGGCAGCAGUAAGGAAUAUUGGACAAUGCCCGCAAGGGUGAUCCAGCCAUGCCGCGUGCAGGAAGAAGGCCCUAUGGGUCGUAAACUGCUUUUACACCGGAGAAAACCUCCCUUCGUGAAGGGAGCUGAUAGUAUGGUGAGAAUAAGCAUCGGCUAACUUCGUGCCAGCAGCCGCGGUAAGACGAAGGAUGCAAGCGUUAUCCGGAUUCAUUGGGUUUAAAGGGAGCGUAGGUGGACUGAUAAGUCAGUGGUGAAAUCUUCGAGCUUAACUCGGAAAUUGCCAUUGAUACUGUUAGUCUUGAGUACAGUUGCUGUGGGCGGAAUAUGACAUGUAGUGGUGAAAUACAUAGAGAUGUCAUAGAACACCGAUUGCGAAGGCAGCUCACAAAGCUGUAACUGACACUGAGGCUCGAAAGUGCGGGGAUCAAACAGGAUUAGAUACCCUGGUAGUCCGCACUGUAAACGAUGAUUACUCGCUGCUAGAGGGCAACUUUAGUGGCUUAGNGAAGAGANAGUAAUACACCGNGGAGGACGCGGCGACGAGAACGACGAAGAAGUAGAGGACGNGAGAGNGCGACGGACGACACGAGGGGAGGAGG